CCCUCUAGUGCUGGAGUGGUGAGGAGGGACAGGAGGUGAGGACAGUUCUUACCUGACAGGUACAGUCAUGACCUGGCAUCGCUGUCUUUGGGUUUGGCAGAUGUCCAGUGCUUUCUUGCCUUAUUGCACUGGUGAGAACCUCCAAGUCAACGGCUAUCCCUCAUGCUGCCACAGGAACCUUCUUUUGCCCUUCAUCCGUCCUCCCUCCACGUCAGGGAGGAAAAACUGAAUAAGGGGGAACACAGAAUGAGGACCCAGCGGGUGGACUAUGGUGCACAUCCCCUUCCUCCUGUGGCUCCUCGAUCUCUUUCAUCCAACAUUGCUGAAAAUGACCCCCACUGGGUUGCAUUUGGGCCAGGAGCCUCAGCUGGAUAUGUGAAAUGUCAAGGGUUCUAUGUCUACGGAUCAUAAAAAUGGCAAAAGAGACCUGGAAAAUGCCUGCUCAUAUGCCCUGGGCCAACAUGGAUUUAAGGAAAACACAUCCAUUCUUCCGGCCAUCAGCGCAGUCUGGAAGCCAUCACAAGCCUGUAAGUUUUACUACUUUAUUUUGGAUCCAUCACGGAGAAGAAGCCUGCUGCCAAGCUGACUGGCACACAUGGAGCCCUUACGUGCCAGGGCAUGAAACUAGUCUGCUGAAUGAGGGCCCAGGCUGUAAAUGAGUAUUUGAGUUGAGAACAUCACCAGGAUCAGCAGAAAGGAGCCCAUAAACUGACGUGAACCAGAAGGCAGAGCUCAGCCUGAACUGUAAUUCCGCAUGUGUCCAGAAUCUGGUAUUAGGGAUUAAUCCCUGGGGUUGCGACUGGAAGUUAGAGGACAGGGUUUGUCUUUGAGCAAACAGCAGGUGAUUCUUUGGCAGGCAAGAACUUUGUAGAAAGCCGUAUCAUCUGCAUCACGACCAGGUUCUCGGUCCUUGAAGAAUUAGCAGAGGGAUUUGCCUGAUUCCACACAGCAGUGCUAUCCAUCAAUCUGAACGGUGUCAAUGACCCAUUUCUCCGGUGUGACCCAGGGCAGCAUAAGUCUCUCUUUCCCUUUCGUUGAUGUCUCCAACAACGAGGAGGGUUGGAUUUCUCCGACCCUGGGGCUGCCACUUCAGGUCACCUGCAGAUGCAGCGGACAUUUCCCUUGCAGCAGGUGUACCGGACCACGUUAGCAUGUGAUGCAGAAGGGACCUGUGGACCCAGGCCUUCGUGCUGCUAAAUUCACCUCAGCUGAAAGACCUCCUUGUGCCUCUCUGCCUGGUGAUGCCAGUCUCCACAGAGGCCCCCAUGAACCUUCUGCAGUGCAGACACCGAGUCCGUCACUGUCAGAUGGUAUUUGUGAGUGUGGGGCCGCCGCGGUGCUAAGUGCUGUGGGUUUUUGCCAAGAAGGGUGGAGGUGGCUAAUAACUCCUGAACCUGAAGAGUUUAUAGUCCCGUGGCUCUCCUCCGGAUCUGUUCCACUGCCCCACCACGCUCCGCCCCUCCGGGGUACGGAUUCCGCUUCUCGCUCCGUCUCUAGUUUUAAUACAUUAUUUAGCAACGUGGACCAUUCAAAUCAACCAGAGUUGUUAAGUGUUGUGCAUAAUGAAUACCAAACAUAAAUAUUUGAUCAGUGCUGCUGUCCUGUUAUUCACUGAGCUGUUAACCUUCAGCUAAUAGGCUUGUGCCAAUUCACCCCCAGUCAUCAAUCUUCAGCAACAACUGUACGGCCGUUUGCACCAGGCCCUGGUGACUACUAGGGCAUCUGGGAUGGCGCUAAAGGGAGCCCCACCCAGGUGAGGCCGUGGCCAACACAGCAAUGUAGAAAUAUGGCUGGAUUGGAUAUUUGACUAUUUGCAGUGUCUUUGCAGAAAGUGGCACCAUUUCCGUUUUUUUUUUUUUCAUUGUUUUUUAAAAUUCUCUGGGAGUUAGAAGUUUUGGAACAUGGAAGGCAGGGUGCUGUUGCUUCUCUGCUACAAGUCUGCUGAAUGACCUUGAGCCCUAAAGUCACAGCUGCUCUAUACCUCAGUCUCCUUAUGUUUAGAAAUAUCAUCUCCAACUCAAAUGCUUAUGGGUCAGUUUAGAUAGUAGAGUUCCUACAGAAGAUGAGCUUACAAUUUCCUUUUGGUGUAUUUUGUUUUCUUAAUAUCCCACAGAAACCUUUCUCUUUCACAGCUGUGUAGAUUACUCCAUCUAAAUAAUAAAAAUAAAUUAUUUGCACUUGGUUGGAGGGGGUUUUAAGAGGCCUCCUGAGGUUGCUUCUGGUUCAGGGGCCCAAAAGGACCCGGUGACUGUAGCAGGGAUGGAGGCAGCCAGUCCCUGCCAGUGAGAGAAGUACCUCUUACCGCUUGUUCCCUCCCCCACCCCCAACACGAGCUUGUACAAAACAGGGCAGAUCACUGUUCCUUUCUGUAGACGUGUCAUCUAAGGAUGCCUAGGUGCGGGUGCUGCUCUUGCCUGCUGACUCUCUGCCUGUGGCGGGUGUCACAGCAUGGCACGCACUGCAACGUUGUGCUUUUUGGGGCAGGGGAAAGUGAGCAGGCCUGCUCUGUGGUUGAGACCGUGCCAAGUCCAGAGCUCACAGGAAGGAACCACGCUUCCUCCAGGCAGGCUCAACAGAGCUGGGGGAAAGGGGGUGCAGGAGCAUUUCCCAUCUGUUCUACUGGAGACAAGCACCCACGUUAUCUUGGAGGUGGGGUUGUGCAAAGGUGAUCUGCUCGUUAAUGUACCUGGGUCAUUGCAGGAGUCCUGGGAAAAGUCAGAAAGGUCCUUUUUGCUGCAAUCUAGAGAAGGGUGCCAUACUCUCCGGCUGGGGGUUACGUGCCCUUAUUCAACCAGGGUGCACGGCACUGUUGUCUGCUCAGGGUGCUAACAUGCGCACCAUGUCUCCACUUGUAAAAUGCAGCCCGCUCUUUAUGAAUCAACACAGCUGUUUGUCUGUCUGGGGCAGAAGGGCUUGGGUUCCCUCUCUGAACACCCUCCUCACCAGCAGGUCUGGUGGGGGCUUGGCCAGUGAAAUGACAUCUUCACGGUCAGGCUACACCAGAGGGUUUAAAUCAGGAGUCCUAGUCCCUGGGAAAAAAGCCAUACCUUAUCUAAAGAGGUCAAUCUCCUCAAUGGGAAUACUGCCAAUGCUGGUGAUUCAUAAGCACACAUCCCAGAUUUAGAAAACCAUGUCUGGCCAGGACAGUGUCUCGCUCACACUCCCUCAAACACACUAAUAGAUACCAGCAACCUCUUCACCUCCCCCCUCAGAACACCCACAGGCGGGGAAACCAAAACAAGGGCACGCUGGACCCUGCCUCUUCCAUCUCUACUGAAAACAGGCCACUGGCUGGCACUGAUCCUCCCAGUGGUCAAGGCCAGAGGCCCUUUUGCCUUUGGUGGACUAAUCAGUUUCUGUUCUGACAAGCCCUGUUUCAAGGGUUGUUCUGUGUUUAGAAGGUAUUAGCAUUUAGCAGGAGCCCUGCCUCCCCCACUUCGGGGCUCAGAAAACCUUCUCUCCAAUCCCUCCCCAAUCCCUCUGUUAAGGUCCUCAAUCACAUUUCUCUAUCCCCGUACAGUGGUCACCAGGUGACCCAGUAGGGCAAGUUCAACACAACCAUUUUUAUGGAAAUUAUUAUAACCAAUAUUAAUUUAGAUUUACAUGUGCCAGGUAUUGUGAUAAUAGAUGUAUAGGUUGGAAUUCAUUCAAUUGUCUCAAGGCCCUAGGACACAGACACUGUUAUUAAUUAGCCUUAUUAUAUUGAUGAGGGAAUUGGUGCUUAGAGAAAUUAGGCACUUGCCCAAGGUCACUGGGAGGGUAAAUCAAACACAAGAUGUUAACCACACUGUACUGCCUUCCCAACCACCUAGCAAGCUCGGCCACAACAUCAAGGAAACAGGGCGACCAGGGCCAAGAAUCGUGGCCCUCUGGUCAGGUUAUCCAACCCUGUGUUUGUACAACCUCCUCGGAGGGGGACGCCCACACGGAUGACCUCUGGGUAUUGUCUACUCCGCCUUAGGAAGAGUGAUUUCACAGACUUCCUUGGUAACCUGCUUCAUGAUCUAAUCACGAACCCACACUCUGGUUUGAGCAGAAUGUUAUCAGUGCGCAGAAUGCUCCCUUCUGUGUGGUAAGGGACAAGAGAGACCUGCCUGCACUAACAUUCUUCCCAGACUGAAGACAAUUAAAAAACUAUUCCCUUUAGCUUUCUCUUCCCCAAAUCAACACUUUGAAUGUUUCUCCAGACUUCCGCUGCCCAUCCCCCAUGUAAACCACAAGAUUUGCUGUUGUUACAGAACUGAAACUGGGGCGGGAAUUCUAGCAUUUCCAUCUCAUUAUUAUUUCUGUAUCACAAAGGCGGGAGAAGGGACCUUAAAGCUGAGCUCCCUCUCUCUGUGACAAGUGACAAGCAAGGGUCUGACCUCCAGCAGGCCUGCCUGCAUUUUUGGCCACAUCUGGCCAAUUCUCCUCCAGGGAACCCCAAAUGGGCCCCCGAGACGGGCGUGCGGUAAGACCCUGUCACAAAAGAGAACCUGAUGACACAGAAGACAGGUCUGUGCAAGGGGGAAGCAGGAAGGGAAGGCAGGAAGCAUCCGCUGGGAUUCGGAUCCGCAGUCAGGCCUGGACAUGAGCCCCUGGGAGAGGCCAGCUAGCCUCAGCUGGGGACACUUAUCUCACUACUUUUCAGGUUGUCUGUUCUUGUUUCUUCCACAGAAAUGGGGUUUUCUGUUGAAGCAAAUUAAUUUUUUCCCCAAAGGUCACCUAAAAAGCAGAUCUGAAAGGCUGGAGCAUGAGUCGGAGAUGCCAACAGUUAUCAGCAGAGGUGGUUUCUGGAAACCUGAAUUCCAAUCCCUAGCCAGACAACUACCCUUUGACCUAAAGCACAAGAUCAGCAAUAAAUCUUCUUUAUCACCUGACCAACACGGCAGCUCUUUCCUUUGGUUUUCAACUGCCUCAGAGAGCGGGAUGCCAAUAAAAACUCCCCUUUCCCCUUCUGAAAGGCACGUUCUUAGGGAGCGUGUGAAUGUGCAUGUGUGCGCCUGUGGUCACGUGGGAACUGCCAUGCCCUGGAUCCAGGGCAGGUAGGAACCCUGCGGGCAGCUCUGCGUGAGUCAGGUCAGCCUGAGAGAUGCAAGGCCUCUUACAGAGGGGCAACCAGCCCUGAGGUGCACGGUGUCCUGGGACUAAAGCUUGCUUUUCAUACAGUGAAGAGAUAAGAACACAGGAUGCUAGGCUCAUGGCCGUGACCGGAAAAGGACGGCAAGGAAAAGUAAGCAUGAGCAGCCCAAAGUCCUUUUUCCAGCACUGGCCAAGGGAGGAUGGAUAUUCUUAGAUCUGACCUCCCCUACCCCCCAUCCUGUUCCCUGAAACUUGAGCCCUAAAAUUCUGGGAAGGAACUAAAGAUGGUCCACAUUUUCCGAAGAUCCAGAUCCAAGGUCAGAGACAGAGAUAAAGGCAUCAGAAAGGAGAUACACAAAGAAACAGGUACAAGAAACCUUUCAUGAUUCUGGUACUUACUAAAACAGCAGGUUGCAUAACGAGGCCAAAUAAAAAACGGCUGGAUUUUGUAUCUUCCACCAUGGGAAAUGCACUGACAUGAGUUUCUUGGAGCCCAAGCUCCCUGACCACCCGGAGUGGAGACCUCUGCCCCUCGGCGGGACCCACCUU